ensembl:rRNA 5S_rRNA 5S ribosomal RNA
AAAUACAUAUAUACCAUCCUGAACGCGCCCAAUCUGGGCUGAUCUCGGAAGCUCAGCAGAGUUGGGCCUGGUUAGUAUUUGGAUGGGAGACCAUCUGGGAAUACUUGGUGCUGUAGACU